rnacentral:rRNA from 1 species
UACAGAGGUCUCGGGCGUUAGUCGGAUUCAUUGGGCUUAAAGCGUGCGUAGGCGGAUGUGCAGGCGUCGUGUGAAAGCCCUCGGCUCAACCGGGGAAUUGCACGGCGAACCGCAUGUCUUGAGACAAGUAGGGGCGGCCGGAACGAUAGGUGGAGUGGUGAAAUGCGUUGAUAUCUAUCGGAACGCCAAAGGUGAAGACAGGCCGCUGGGCUUGUUCUGACGCUGAUGCACGAAAGCGUGGGGAGCAAACGGG